CAAACGGCCCUUUUCGGGGCCACCACCAAAUAUAACUAAAACAUC
rfam:Lasius niger Lnig_2.1_10730, whole genome shotgun sequence.